rnacentral:tRNA from 2 species
GCUGGCGUAGCUCAGCGGUAGAGCAGCUGAUUCGUAAUCAGCAGGGCGUGGGUUCAAAUCCCACCGCCAGCUCUA